CCUACGGGAGGCAGCAGUGAGGAAUAUUGGUCAAUGGCCGGAAGGCUGAACCAGCCAUGCCGCGUGAAGGUCAGUGCCCUAUGGGCGUUAAACUUCUUUUGUGCGGGAGCAAUAAUGGUCACGUGUGGCCAGACGAGAGUACCGUACGAAUAAGCAUCGGCUAACUCCGUGCCAGCAGCCGCGGUAAUACGGGGGAUGCAAGCGUUAUCCGGAUUUAUUGGGUUUAAAGGGUGCGUAGGCUGUGAGGUAAGUCAGCGGUGAAAUGCCCCCGCUCAACGGGAUGAAGUGCCAUUGAUACUGCCUGGCUGGAAUGCGGAUGCCGUGGGAGGAAUGUGUGGUGUAGCGGUGAAAUGCAUAGAUAUCACACAGAACACCGAUUGCGAAGGCAUCUCACGAAUCCGCGAUUGACGCUGAUGCACGAAAGCGUGGGUAUCAAACAGGAUUAGAUACCCGGGUAGUC
rnacentral:rRNA from 1 species